GAACGCUGGCGGUAGGCCUAACACAUGCAAGUCGAACGGCAGCACAGUAAGAGCUUGCUCUUACGGGUGGCGAGUGGCGGACGGGUGAGGAAUACAUCGGAAUCUACUUUUUCGUGGGGGAUAACGUAGGGAAACUUACGCUAAUACCGCAUACGACCUACGGGUGAAAGCAGGGGAUCUUCGGACCUUGCGCGAUUGAAUGAGCCGAUGUCGGAUUAGCUAGUUGGCGGGGUAAAGGCCCACCAAGGCGACGAUCCGUAGCUGGUCUGAGAGGAUGAUCAGCCACACUGGAACUGAGACACGGUCCAGACUCCUACGGGAGGCAGCAGUGGGGAAUAUUGGACAAUGGGCGCAAGCCUGAUCCAGCCAUACCGCGUGGGUGAAGAAGGCCUUCGGGUUGUAAAGCCCUUUUGUUGAGAAAGAAAAGCAGCAGGUUAAUACCCCGCUGUUCUGACGGUACCCAAAGAAUAAGCACCGGCUAACUUCGUG
rnacentral:rRNA from 1 species